CCUGUUGAGUCUCAUCAUCGUCGUGCCUCUUUGUGUCUGGUUCAUAAGGAAUCAGUGGGUAAAACGAAAGAAUGAAGAUAUAUCGAUCUGUGAGGAAUGUUGUAUUCAUGGUCGAAAAAUAUGCCAAUCGGGAAAUGAGUCAGUUGUAGAAGAGAACGUGUCCUGCAGUGAAGAUGCACAGAAUUAUGCCUCUAUUAUCUUCAAAGAUCCUGCAAAAAGAAAAAAUAAUGAAAUACAAAUUCCACAGCCUGACCACACGACAGAAUACGCUAGCUUAAAGGUCAAAGUUAAAAAUAAACAAUUAUAUGAAGAUUCAGUUCUUUACUCCACAGUCAACGUACAGCCCACAGCAUACAGAACACAAAAUGAUUAAUGCAACGCAAACACAUAUGCCCUGCUUAAGUAAAACAUGUUUAAUAUACUGUUUCACCAUGAGGUGAAUUUUGCAAUGUUUGAGUCUCAAGUUGUGUUACUUUGUGCAUUGCUGUAAAUAGCCAUGAGGUGUCAGCGUCCUUCUCAGAAAAAGUGGCAAGGGUGUGUAUUAAUGUAAUACUAGUGUAAUCAGUUCUGAUAAUUUAGGGGCAGUUCCAGGAAGGAUUGAGCUCCUGGCAACAGCUAUGCCUUCAACACUCUGUUGG